ACUACGGGUGGCAGCAGUGGGGGAUAUUGCACAAUGGGGGGAACCCUGAUGCAGCGACGCCGCGUGGGUGAAGGAGUGCUUCGGCAUGUAAAGCCCUAUCGGCAGGGAAGAAGCAAGACGGUACCUGACUAAGAAGCCCCGGCUAACUACGUGCCAGCAGCCGCGGUAAUACGGGGGGGGCAAGCGUUAUCCGGAUUUACUGGGUGUAAAGGGAGCGUAGACGGCGCUGGAAGUACGGAGUGAAAGCCCAUGGCUUAACCCUGGUACUUCUCUGGAGACUGUAGAGCUUGAGGGCGGGGGGGGCAGGCGGAAUUCCUUGUGUAGCGGUGAAAUGCGUAGAUAUUAGGAGGAACACCGGCGGCGAAGGCGGCCUGCUGGACCGUAACUGACGUUGAGGCUCGAAAGCGUGGGGAGCAAACAGGAUUAGAUACCCUAGUAGUC
rnacentral:rRNA from 1 species